rnacentral:rRNA from 1 species
UACGGGGGGAGCAAGCGUUGUUCGGAUUUACUGGGCGUAAAGGGCGCGUAGGCGGUCGUGACAAGUCACUUGUGAAAUCUCCGGGCUUAACUCGGAACGGUCAAGUGAUACUGUCGGACUAGAGUACAGAAGGGGCAACUGGAAUUCUCGGUGUAGCGGUGAAAUGCGUAGAUAUCGAGAGGAACACCUGCGGCGAAGGCGGGUUGCUGGGCUGACACUGACGCUGAGGCGCGAAAGCCAGGGGAGCGAACAGG